CCUACGGGGGACAGCAGUGAGGAAUAUUGGUCAAUGGACGAGAGUCUGAACCAGCCAAGUAGCGUGAAGGAUGACUGCCCUAUGGGUUGUAAACUUCUUUUAUAUGGGAAUAAAACAGGGUAUGCAUACACUCUUGUAGGUACCAUAUGAAUAAGGAUCGGUCAAACCCGUGCCAGCAGACGGGGUAAUACGGAGGAGCAGACGGUUAUCCGGAUUUUUUGGGUUUAAAGAGAGCGUAGGUGGAUUGUUAAGUCAGUUGUGAAAGUUUGCGGGCAAACGGUAGAAUUGCCGUUGAAACUGGCAGUCUUGAGUGCAGUAGAGGUGGGCGGAAUGCGUGGUGUAGCGGUGAAAUGCAUAGAUAUCACGAAGAACUCCGAUUGCGAAGGCAGCUCACUGGACUGCAACUGACACUGAUGCUCGAAAGUGUGGGUAUCAAACAGGAUUAGAUACCCUUGUAGUC
rnacentral:rRNA from 1 species